GAAAAGUUAAAUGUUUGGGUAACUUUUCUCUACUUUUCUCUGUAUUUACAUUUUAAAUGACAUUCCAACGUUUUCAUAAAUAUGUUACUAAAUCAAAGUUAUUUCAGUGUAAGUGUAGUGACUUGAGCUGCCUCAGGAGAGAACAGACAGUCACAGUGAGGAAACAAACAAAAAAAGAGGAAUGAUGCUAAUGAAAUAAGAAAUAGGGAAAAAACAGAUUCACAAUGACCCACAUACAUUUGCUCCCCAUAAUUUAAAAGUAUGUUCUUCCUGUGAAAAUAAAUGUAUUACUUGUUUAGAAAGCCUAGUACUGGUCUGGUUUUGCUGACAUUUAUUGUGGCAAGUUUAAGAAAAUGUGUUAAUCUCAAACUUUUUAAUUGCAUCCGGUCUACCUGUUUGCCUGUUGGAGCUCAGCACGCUCCAUAAUUCCUGUAAGCUUCGCUGCAAGCUUCCUGGUUCACCAGUGGAGCAGCUUGAGCUGGAACUAGAGCUGGGAAGCCGUGCUGUAACUGAUCUAGGCUCACGCCCUGCAUUCUGAUCCGGAAAAAAAAAAAAAAAAACACAAAGAAAGCAGCCGUUGUGUGUUCCUUUCACUGUCAAAACUCUUUGUGCUUCCUUGUGAGUUUAACAUUUCCUGGGAGAUACCUGAAAAUUGAUCCUCGCAUAGAUGUGGGAAGCUGAAAAGCUUUUCCCCACAUGUGAUCGAUUAGUCCCACAACCAGACCACUUUCUGGAGAUCAGUACAACAACACACAAAACCUUUCAAGCACCUCAACCUAUCAUCAGAGGACUAUAGUCCAGAGCUGAAACGCAGGAAGGAAAGAGAUUUUAGAGAGCUUUUCUGUUGCAGCUCUUGUUUGGUGAAACGAUGGAUCAUUUGUUUUGUGUGUUUGUGUUGACUGCUACAUGUGUGGGAUAGACUUGUGUGCAAAAAAAAAAAAAAAGGCACUGAGUGUCAGAAAGUUGAGUCAGAUGGGAGGGAAAAAAAUCAGCAUGGAUGACGCAUCCUGAAUAAUCACUUUCAUCUUUGACUUCCAAUUUCCACAGUGAAUAUGUAGAUAAGUCGACUUGCCUGUGUGCCUCUUCCGUGAUAUUAUUGCAGGAUUAGGCUGGAUGAUGAACUGAUUCGGAAUGUAAUCAUUUAAUAUUAGAUACAGUGGUUUGGAAAAGAUAAAUGAGCUUUACCAGAAUAUGAUGAAAGGGAUUCAAAUCCUUUUUCUCUGCACUGUUUUGGGAAUACAGGACUGUACAAAACAAAAAGGGGGAAGGUGUGAGUGAUUCGCUGGACAUCACUGGUCCUCACUCGUUCCCCUCACCAGCUGAACAAGUGAUUUUUCUUCAUCAUUCGUGAGGGUGCUACAGAAUCUGCAACAUUCAAGAGCUCUUCAGCUCACCGCCUGCCACUAAUGUGUCAAACGGACAAUGAGAUGCUUAGGCUUAUUUGUGCAGGAUGGGUUUAUUAUGUUGAAUCAAGCUGUCAGAGUGAGGCGGAUUUUUAUUCUCUGUUUCGUGAUGCUUCGCUUUCAAGCCCACAUUCAGCUGCAGCGUUUCGCCAAAAAUCUGGUAUUAAUUAAAAGACUCAGUGGAGCCAACGCUUCCCGAAGCAACAGCCAGGGCUUGGAUGUGCAGCUCUCUGUCUUCAGCAGAUCAAGAAAAAAAAAGAAAAAAAGAAAGGAGGUGGAGAUGGAAACAGAGGGGGAGACUUUGGGAGGGAGAGCGAACGACUGAGAGAGGAACGCUCGCUUCAGAAUGAAAACAGACCGAAGAGUGCGUGCGGAGGGUUGUGGGGAGGGUGAGGAUAAAACAGGGAGGGGAAAAACGGAAAGGGGAGGGCUGCUCUCAGCAUCAUCUGACAGGAGGGAGGCUGAUCUCCGACAGCAGGUGUUGGAGGACAGGGAGACUGUGCCAGACGCACGAAGGGAGAAAUACAUUUACAAGCACCAAGUUGUUGAGGAGAGGAAGCUGAGCCGCAAGUGAGAUAGCGCUACAGACAGGAAACGAGAUGGAAGGAUUCUUCGUGAAGUAGAGCCUUUGACAGGACGCUUCCACUGUCCACUUCCUUCUACCUCGCCAGCAAAGGGUUGCAGAAUGGAUGAGCAAAGAUGCCCGUUCCCUCCUCCCCUCAAGACAGAAGAGGACUACAUACCUUAUCCCAGCGUUCAUGAGGUUUUAGGCCGCAGGAGUCCUUUUCCCCUCAUCCUGCUACCUCAGUUUGGAGGCUACUGGAUUGAAGGAACCAAUCAUGAGCCUAAAGACCCGAUAGAAGCCGAUCAACCUACCUGUCCUGCCUCCCACAUCAAGCUGGAGACAAACAGUACUGCUAAGAUCUACAGAAAGAAUUUCAUGGGGAAGGAACACUUUAAUUACUACACCAUGGAUGCUGCCCUGGGUCACCUGGUCUUUUCAGUCAAGUACGAUGUCAUUGGGGAUCAAGAGCAUCUGCGCUUGAUGCUACGCACAAAGCUAAAAACCUAUCAUGACGUGAUUCCCAUUUCCUGCCUUACUGAAUUCCCAAAUGUGGUCCAGAUGGCCAAGCUUGUUUGUGAAGAAGUUAAUGUGGAUCGCUUUUACCCUGUCCUCUACCCAAAGGCAUCGAGGCUCAUUGUCACCUUUGAUGAGCACGUAAUCAGCAACAACUUUAAGUUUGGAGUCAUUUAUCAAAAGUUUGGGCAGACAUCAGAGGAGGAACUCUUUGGAAACAUGGAGGAAAGUUCCUCCUUUGUUGAGUUCUUGGAGUUUCUCGGGAAGAAAAUAGAGCUUCAUGAUUUUAAAGGUUUUCGAGGUGGCCUUGAUGUCGCUCAUGGUCAAACGGGGACAGAAUCCGUCUACACAAAUUUCCACAAUAAGGAAAUUAUGUUUCAUGUGUCCACCAAACUGCCUUACACAGAAGGAGACUCCCAGCAGCUGCAGAGGAAGAGGCACAUAGGCAACGACAUUGUGGCCAUCGUGUUCCAGGAGGAAAACACUCCUUUUGUACCUGACAUGAUCCAGUCCAAUUUCCUGCAUGCGUACGUUGUGGUCCAGGUGGAGAACGCCUGCACGGACAAUGUCACCUACAAGGUUUCUGUGACUGCAAGGGAUGAUGUACCUUUCUUUGGUCCUGCUCUACCUGACCCUGCCAUCUUCAAAAAAGGCCCCGAGUUCCGUGAGUUCCUCUUCACCAAGCUCAUUAAUGCAGAAUAUGCCUGCUACAAGGCUGAGAAGUUUGCCAAACUGGAGGAGCGCACGCGCUCUGCGCUGUUAGAAACGCUGUACGAGGAGCUGCACAUCAACAGUCAGUCCAUGAUGGGCCUGGGUGGAGACGAAGAUAAGCUGGAGAACGGGGGCGGAGGAGGAGGCGGCGGCUUCUUUGAGUCCUUCAAGCGGGUCAUCCGCAGCAGAAGCCAGUCUAUGGACGCCAUGGGCCUCAGUAACAAGAAGUCAAACACAGUCUCCACUAGUCACAGUGGCAGCUUUACCCACAAUCCCGCAGAGAGCCCCAAAACCACAGGGAUUUCAUUGCUUGUCCCAGGGAAAAGUCCCAGUAGAUAUGGACGCCGAGGCAGUGCCAUAGGGAUAGGAACAAUAGAAGAGUCAUUGAUCAUUCCCGGGAAAAGCCCGACCAGGAAAAAGUCUGGGCCCUUCAGCUCCCGCCGCAGCAGUGCCAUCGGCAUCGAGAACAUCCAGGAGGUCCAAGAGAGGAGUCGUGAAGUUUCACCCAACGCUCAGAAGACAGCAGACGGCAGCUACCUGUCACAGGAGCAUAAAUCUGACAACUCCCCUAAUCACAGUUCUCCAGAGUUUGUUGCAGCAAAGAACAGUCUGGCGAUGUGUUGCAGGGCACCCUCCAUCCCCGAGGCUCAGGACCUUUCCCGCUCCUCGUCCAACGCCAGCAGCUUUGCCAGUGUUGUGGAGGAGCACGAGGCCGAGGAGGAGUACGACACUGGAAUGGAAAGUGUUUCGUGUGUCACACCAGUCAAAAAAGAUUCCUUUGUGUACAGCUGUGGGGUGGAGGACAGCACAUUCAGCCAAGGAAGUUUUGCAGCAGCUUCUCGUCUUCAGCAGCAGCCGGAUGGAGUGAAGACGUCAGAACUAAAAGGGAGCGACAGUCAGACCAAGAUGGAGGGCCCCCAGCAGGAGCAGAAGUUCUCAUCGAGCAGCAGGAGUUCAUAGAAAUUUGCCUCCGAGUUGUGGAACUGUUAGCCACUUUCUUCUGAUCCUGACUCUGAAGUCCAUUUUUGCAUCUUCACUCGCGGCAUCAUCUGCCAAAGAUCAAGCCAAGGAAGGCAUGUGAAGUCUACCACCGCUCUAUUGUAUUUUUGGUACUGGUUUGCUGCUUAUGACGGCCAACACCUCCAUCGUCAUUAGUAACCAAUUCUAUCCUGUAAGUGGACCCUCUGAGCGCUCAGCGCGCUCCAGACUCUUGCAGUAAUCAGACCAUCGUUGGUCUGCUGUCUCAGUGCAGAAAUCUGCUCUGAAAGUUGAUUCUCAACAGGUGUUCUCAAUCGCACUGUCCUCCCAUUACCAUCAGGACACCGGGACUUCAAUAGAAAUUUGAAUUUUAUCAAGCUUUUAAUGGAGUUGCAAUACAUUUUUUUUUCUUAUUUUGUACGUCAAAUCCACAUCCCACUGUGACAUUGUACAGUUUGAACUUUGGCGUAUCCGGUGUGGCUUUCAGUCGGGUCAUUCUCUGUGUUCUCUUGAUGAUUAUUUUCUGGGUAUUUUGCAGUGGAUAUUUGUUGUGUUUUCUAACGAUGUUUGUCAUGCUUUCAGCAAAGGCUGUUACAGGUGUAGAUAUGAAAGGUGUUCACCUUUGUCGUGUGCAGGUGAAGAGGAAAGUAAACCAAUAAAAACUGGCAGAGAAAAAAAGGAUAAUCAAAAGUGGAAAACCAGCAACAUGUAACCUAAAUCCUGCCGACACGGUAGUGCUGUUUAGACAUGUCUUCAGACGCUUGUUGUUAUUCCCACCUGUUGAUGUCUUUGUACAGGUGUGUAAGCAUAGGUCCUGUGCAUGGUGUGAAUCUGCUUGCCAAAAUCCCUCUCUGCACAUCGGUGAAACGCUCGGUGUCCCUGUGAUUCGUGUUUCACCAAAAAACUAGCUUCCAUCUCCAGAUGCAGAGCACAUUUUGCAGAGAGACAAAUGUACUUUUUUUAGUAAAGUAUAUAUGUAUGAGAAAGCACUAAAUUCCCAGCGUUGUUCCCAAAUGCUGACCUUUUCAAAGAACCUAAUAGGUUGCUCGAGAAAUGAAAUACACUGUGACUUGCUCUGCAGUUGCCUUUUUGAUCUUGUCACAAAAAGCUGCUUUGAUUGAAAGUCAUUUAAAAUGCAGUGUGCUGCUGGAUGGCUGAAUGUAAAACUAAGCAGAAAUAGAUUUGUCUUUCCUUCAUCAAAGUAAAUCUUUUAUGUAUAAAGAAAUCAUUUUUACAAACUUUUUUUUUUUGUAUGUGUGGCUUUGUUUUUGGUUUAUGAAAACCACAAAAAUAUAUAUUUUAUUUAUUUUGCUUGAACAAAUACUUUUUAUUUGUGAGUUUAUGAUAACAGAACUGUAGAACCUACAGUAUAUUGUGAAAAUCCCAUUGCUAAGCUAUUUAUGACAAGAAAUGACCUAUAAUUGCACGCAUUUAUCAUUUCAACAUCUUUUUAAGCUUUCCAGUUGUGACAUCCAGAAGAUUAAGUGAAGAAAGUCUGCCAUCUUGUGGCUCUUUGUUGUUACUGCACAUCGCUGUGGAACCAGUCUUUAUGUACAGCCCAGAACAAAUCUUCUUUAUGCUCAAUCCAAAUGAUUGUAUUUCUGUUUUUUUGUCAACUGUUUGUUUUGGCCCUUUGUUUUAGAGAUGUUUGUAAAUAUUUCUUUUCAUCUUUUUUGUAUAUAAUGUCAGUAAAAUAUUUAAUUAAAAAACGUACACACCAA